rnacentral:rRNA from 1 species
UACGAAGGGGGCUAGCGUUGCUCGGAUUGACUGGGCGUAAAGGGCGCGUAGGCGGCGGACACAGUCAGGCGUGAAAUUCCCGGGCUCAACCUGGGGGCUGCGCUUGAUACAUGUCUGCUUGAGUUCGGAAGAGGGUCGUGGAAUUCCCAGUGUAGAGGUGAAAUUCGUAGAUAUUGGGAAGAACACCGGUGGCGAAGGCGGCGACCUGGUCCGAUACUGACGCUGAGGCGCGAAAGCGUGGGGAGCAAACAGG